rnacentral:rRNA from 1 species
AUGGCGAAGGAGACCGAGUACUACGACGCGCUCGGCGUCAGCCCCGCCGCCUCGGACGACGAGAUCCGCAAGGCCUACUACAUCAAGGCGAGGCAGGUGCAUCCUGACAAAAACCCCGACGAUCCGCAGGCGUCCGACAAGUUUCAGGCUCUUGGAGAGGCCUACCAGGUCCUGAGUGACCCUUUGCAGAGAAAGGCCUACGACGGUUAUGGCAAGACUAGCAUAUCCAGGGACAAUAUUCUAGAUGGUGCUCUGGUCUUCACCCUCCUGUUCGGGAGCGAGCUGUUCGAGGACUACAUUGGGCAUCUUGCAAUGGCAACAAUGGCUUCCUCAGAGAUGGCCAGCGACAACGGCAGCGCCGAGAAGCUUCAGGACAGGCUCAAGGGUGUACAAAGGGAACGAGAAGAGAAGCUAGCUAGAUUCCUCAACAAGUUCCUCUCGCAGUAUGUGAGUGGUGACAUGGAGGGAUUCGCUCAUCGUGCCGAAUCUGAGGCGAAGAGGCUUUCCAGCACUUCAUACGCACUGGACAUUCGUCGCACCAUCGGAUACGUUUACUCCCGACAAGCUGCCAAGGAACUCGGCAAGAAGGCCAUGUACCUGGGAGUUCCGUUCCUGACCGAGUGGGUGAGGAACAAGGGCCACCUCUGGAGGUCACAGAUCACGGCAGCGAAAGGAGCUCUGCAGCUGCUGCAGCUGCAAGAGGAGGCAUGCCGGCAGAGUGCCAAGGACGGGGGCGCUGCCACUGAGAAGGACGUCGAUAUGCAGAUGAGAAUGAACAAGGACCUGAUGAUGAGUUCAAUUUGGAAGCUCAACGUUGUGGAUAUUGAAGUCACGCUCCUACAUGUCUGUGAAAUGGUGCUACAUGAAAAUAAUGUCAAGAAAGAGGACCUCAAGGCCCGUGCAAUGGCCUUGAGAAAUCUCGGAAAAAUAUUUCAGAGGGAAAAAGAGGCAUUACCUGGGCCAUCAAAGCCAACCAUUCUCGACGAUGACAGCAGCUCAGAUGAAAGUUCAGACGAGGAGGCAUCACGGACAGUGACAUAUCGGACUCCAGCGCUUACUCAGGGAAUUGGCAGGCUAUUUAGAUGCUUAUGCAACCCCGCAUAUGACGUUAACGAUGACUUCGAACCCCGGAAAUGA